rnacentral:rRNA from 1 species
CCUACGGGAGGCAGCAGUGAGGAAUAUUGGUCAAUGGCCGUAAGGCUGAACCAGCCAAGUAGCGUGAGGGAAGACUGCCCUAUGGGUUGUAAACCUCUUUUAUGCGGGGAUAAAGGUGACCACGCGUGGAUGUUUGCAGGUACCGCAUGAAUAAGGACCGGCUAAUUCCGUGCCAGAAGCCGCGGUAAUACGGAAGUGACGGGCGUUAUCCGGAUUUAUUGGGUUUAAAGGGAGCGUAGGCCGGUCUUUAGGCUGGCCGGGAAAUUUUGUGGCUCAACCAUGGGAGUGCGGCGCGAAGUGGAGACCUUGAGUGCGCGGAAGGCAGGCGGAAUUCGUGGUGUAGCGGUGAAAUGCUGAGAUAUCACGAAGAACCCCGAUUGCGAAGGCAGCCUGCCGCAGCGUUACUGACGCUGAAGCUCGAAAGCGCGGGUAUCGAACAGGAUUAGAUACCCGGGUAGUC